rnacentral:rRNA from 1 species
CCCGAGAUUAAUGGGAUACCUAAAUUUCCCAUGGCGAACUGCUCAGUAACACAUGNUCAACUUACCCUAUUGAGAAAGAUAACCUCGGGAAACUGAGGAUAAUAUUUCAUAGUUGAAUUGGCUUGGAAAAGUUUUUCAACAAAAGGGAUAGGGAAAAUGGUCUCUAUCCGCUAUAGGAUAGGAUCGUGUUCGAUUAUGGUAGUUGGUGAGGUAACGGCUCACCAAGCCGAUAAUCGAUGGGGGCCGUGAGAGCGGGAGCCCCGAGAUGGGUACUGAGACAACGACCCAGGCCUUACGAGGCGCAGCAGGUACGAAACCUCCACAAUACACGAAAGUGUGAUGGGGUUACCCAAAGUGUUCAUUAUUGAACUGUGGUAGGAGAGUAAUGUCCCCUACUAGAAAGGAGAGGGCAAGGCUGGUGCCAGCCGCCGCGGUAAAACCAGCUCCUCAAGUGGUCGGGAUAAUUAUUGGGCUUAAAGUGUCCGUAGCCGGUUUAGUAAGUUCCUGGUAAAAUCAGGUAGCUUAACUAUCUGUAUGCUAGGAAUACUGCUAUACUAGAGGGCGGGAGAGGUCUGAGGUACUACAGGGGGUAGGGGUGAAAUCUUAUAAUCCUUGUUAGGACCACCAGUGGCGAAGGCGU